rnacentral:rRNA from 1 species
GACGAACGCUGGCGGCGUGCCUAAUACAUGCAAGUCGAACGCAGUGGGGCCGGGUGAGUAACACGUGGGUAACCUCCCAUCAGAGGGGAUAACACUUGGAAACAGGUGCUAAACCGAUACUGAUGGAUGGACCCGCGGGGCAUUAGCUAGUUGGUGAGGUAACGGCUCACCAAGGCCACGAUGCAUAGACGAACUGAGAGGGUGAUCGGGCACACGGGGACUGAGACAAGGACCAGAAUCCUACGGGAGGGAGCAGGAGGGAAGCUGCGGCAAUGGACGAAAGUCUGAACGAGCAACGCCGCGUGAGUGAAGAAGGUUUACAGUUCGUAAAACUCUGUUGUUAGAGAGGCGGUAUCUAACCAGACAGCCACGGCUAACGACGUGCUAGCAGCCGCGGUAAUUC